UUUUUCUGAUCAGUAUGUUUUUCUUCCCGUAGUUCAGUUUUAAAUAAACCUUUACGUACCUACUCUGUGACAGACCCAAAAGGAGGCUGUGAAUCAGCAGUGCCCUGUGGAGCCAUAGGAAGUCAGAAGCAACAAAUUAUAACCAAUGGACCACCAGGGAAGUCCCAGUCGCCUUUAUUCUUCAAAGGUGUCCAUCGCCCUUCAAUACAUCGCUCGUACAUUUAAUCACAUUUGACAUCUGUUUCUGGAAGACCUAACACUAGAAACUGAAAGGAAAAUGUGUGUACAGAUUUAAAAAUUUCUCUAAGUUGAACGUGUCAGCUUCCAGUGAGAAGGGAAGAAUACUUAUGUUCUGAAGAUGGUAACUCUUCCAAGUCUGAGAGAAAGAUCUAUUCAAGGAAUAAUAAAU